UACGUAGGGGGCUAGCGUUGUCCGGAAUCAUUGGGCGUAAAGCGCGUGUAGGCGGUCCGGUAAGUCUGCUGUGAAAGUCGGGGGCUCAACCCUCGAAUGCCGGUGGAUACUGUCGGACUAGAGUGCGGAAGAGGCGAGUGGAAUUCCUGGUGUAGCGGUGAAAUGCGCAGAUAUCAGGAGGAACACCAAUUGCGAAGGCAGCUCGCUGGGACGUUACUGACGCUGAGACGCGAAAGCGUGGGGAGCAAACAGG
rnacentral:rRNA from 1 species